rnacentral:rRNA from 1 species
UACGAAGGGGGCUAGCGUUGCUCGGAAUCACUGGGCGUAAAGGGUGCGUAGGCGGGUUUUUAAGUCAGGGGUGAAAUCCUGGAGCUCAACUCCAGAACUGCCUUUGAUACUGAAGAUCUUGAGUCCGGGAGAGGUGAGUGGAACUGCGAGUGUAGAGGUGAAAUUCGUAGAUAUUCGCAAGAACACCAGUGGCGAAGGCGGCUCACUGGCCCGGUACUGACGCUGAGGCACGAAAGCUGGGGGAGCAAACAGG